rnacentral:lncRNA from 1 species
GUCAGGGGAAGCACAGCUGCGAUAACAACAGGUGAAGAUGGGCCGCGAUCUGCUGCACCUGGGAUUCCUCGUCACAGUUUUCCAGCAGCUAGAACCUGAACAUGGAACAACUUGGUCCUCUGGCUGGCCGUUAGUUACGACUGGCUGUGGUCGGUCUGGAAUCCUUGAGUCUUCUUCGUGUUCUGCAUCUGCCACCUGUAGCGGUUGCUCUGUUGCUUGUUCUUGCUGAGGAACAAAGUUCUUCUCGGCUGAGCCGUGUGAGGACCCCUUCCCCACCCAGCAGCACGUCCAGGCGGGGGAGAACGUCUCCAUGAGUUGCAACUUCACCGUCUAUGACCCCAGAACGGCCCCAACGGUCCAGUGGAACUAUCAGAGCCAGACCAAGAACAUGGAAAGCAUCAACCUCUACACAAGCAUCAAUGGGAACGAGAACCGCUUCUACUACAGGCCGCGCUUCGAGGGCAGGACGUGGGUUAACGCCACUGGGCUGGCCCAUGGCGACGCCACCCUGCACCUUGCUGGAGUCACGACGUCCGACCAAGGGUACUUCUCCUGCUUUGUGGGCCUGGGCCACGACUGUAAGUCUGUGGCGGUGCAGCUCUGGGUCAGCGAUCACCAACAAUCUAGGUCAGCGCUAGCCUGCGGGCUCGCUGCCACCUGCUUCCCUGGCCUGGUGCUUUCCCUUGCCGCAGCAGUUACCUUGUGCAUGUGAGCGCAGGGAUCGGGGCUAGACCCCAACUGGGAUGUGACUGCGAAACACUCGGAAGCCUCCAUGUGAUCAAAGGGGACAGCCGCCUCCUCGAACACGCCAGCCUCUCUCACAUCCCAGCGCUGCAGAUGGCACCGGGCCCUCCAAGCCAGGCUGGCACAUGAAACAUACACAACUGGGACACUGAGCGCUUGUGUACACUGAAACGCUACCCUGGCACCGCUGUGCUUGUGUAGACAUGACCUGCACCAACGGGAGGGGUUCUCCCAUCGCUGUGGACAAUCCACCUUCCUGAGAGAUGGUAGCUAGGUUGAUGGAAGAAGUCUCCUGUUGGCCUAGUGCUGUCUACACGGAGAGUUAGGUUGGCUUAACUGUGCCGCGCAGGGGUGUGGAUUUUUCACACCGCUGGGCAGGGCCGGCUCUAGGAUUUUUGCCGCCCAAAGCAAAAACAAUUUUGGCUGCCCCCCCCGCGUUCUUUAAUU